GAUAAACGCUGGCGGCGUGCCUAAUACAUGCAAGUCGAGCGAACGGACGAGAAGCUUGCUUCUCUGAUGUUAGCGGCGGACGGGUGAGUAACACGUGGAUAACCUACCUAUAAGACUGGGAUAACUUCGGGAAACCGGAGCUAAUACCGGAUAAUAUUUUGAACCGCAUGGUUCAAAAGUGAAAGACGGUCUUGCUGUCACUUAUAGAUGGAUCCGCGCUGCAUUAGCUAGUUGGUAAGGUAACGGCUUACCAAGGCAACGAUGCAUAGCCGACCUGAGAGGGUGAUCGGCCACACUGGAACUGAGACACGGUCCAGACUCCUACGGGAGGCAGCAGUAGGGAAUCUUCCGCAAUGGGCGAAAGCCUGACGGAGCAACGCCGCGUGAGUGAUGAAGGUCUUCGGAUCGUAAAACUCUGUUAUUAGGGAAGAACAUAUGUGUAAGUAACUGUGCACAUCUUGACGGUACCUAAUCAGAAAGCCACGGCUAACUACGUGCCAGCAGCCGCGGUAAUACGUAGGUGGCAAGCGUUAUCCGGAAUUAUUGGGCGUAAAGCGCGCGUAGGCGGUUUUUUAAGUCUGAUGUGAAAGCCCACGGCUCAACCGUGGAGGGUCAUUGGAAACUGGAAAACUUGAGUGCAGAAGAGGAAAGUGGAAUUCCAUGUGUAGCGGUGAAAUGCGCAGAGAUGUGGAGGAACACCAGUGGCGAAGGCGACUUUCUGGUCUGUAACUGACGCUGAUGUGCGAAAGCGUGGGGAUCAAACAGGAUUAGAUACCCUGGUAGUCCACGCCGUAAACGAUGAGUGCUAAGUGUUAGGGGGUUUCCGCCCCUUAGUGCUGCAGCUAACGCAUUAAGCACUCCGCCUGGGGAGUACGACCGCAAGGUUGAAACUCAAAGGAAUUGACGGGGACCCGCACAAGCGGUGGAGCAUGUGGUUUAAUUCGAAGCAACGCGAAGAACCUUACCAAAUCUUGACAUCCUUUGACAACUCUAGAGAUAGAGUUUUCCCCUUCGGGGGACAGAGUGACAGGUGGUGCAUGGUUGUCGUCAGCUCGUGUCGUGAGAUGUUGGGUUAAGUCCCGCAACGAGCGCAACCCUUAAGCUUAGUUGCCAUCAUUAAGUUGGGCACUCUAAGUUGACUGCCGGUGACAAACCGGAGGAAGGUGGGGAUGACGUCAAAUCAUCAUGCCCCUUAUGAUUUGGGCUACACACGUGCUACAAUGGACAAUACAAAGGGCAGCGAAACCGCGAGGUCAAGCAAAUCCCAUAAAGUUGUUCUCAGUUCGGAUUGUAGUCUGCAACUCGACUACAUGAAGCUGGAAUCGCUAGUAAUCGUAGAUCAGCAUGCUACGGUGAAUACGUUCCCGGGUCU
rnacentral:rRNA from 1 species